rnacentral:lncRNA from 1 species
CUAUUUUAUUGUUUCUUGUAAGAAAAAAGGUUCCUUAUAAAUAAAUUUCUUGUGCUUAGCCGGAGCAUAUUGCUUACAAGUAUUGCUUUCCUGUUCAUUUACCUACAGAGACUCCAGGAUUUGGAAUAAAUAACCCAAAAAAACUUCAUAAUAAAUUAGAAGUAAGGCCUGUUCUAUUUCAGCCUCUAUUGUCAACAAUUGAGCAGAAAUAUUACGAUUUCAUGCUAUACAGACCUGAUUCCCCUCCGUUUUCAUUUAUACAAAUGGUUGAUUUCAUUUCCUUAUGCACUGCGAAGAAUCAUGUUAUGAUGCCAUGCAUGCUAAUGCUGUUUCUACAGAAUCCUACUGUUAGCCAAGGUGAGUGGGAUGAUACCUAAUUCUUACAAAUCCUUCACUUUACCUUAGUUACCUUACUGGCUGGGAAAUGCAGUCUAGCAAUGAGAGGACGAGGUGCACGUGUCUUCCAGUCGAAUCCCCUUACACAAACGAAGCCUGGAAAACAUGACAACUAGUUAUGAGUACGACAAAGGUGCAGAAGUUAGGACAUUACUCAGAGUUGUGAAUAGAUAGUUAUCCUGUACUACUGGAUGUAAAUAAAGCUUCUAUAAUUUGAUGAAAAAUACCUAUCUUUAGGACUAGAGGCGAAGCGAUACAACGCAAUUAACUUUCAGGGUAAGACAUUGAGUACAUCUAUGAUUGUCCUGGUUCUUGCUUGAGGUUAAUGGCGUAAAACUUACAUGCUCGGUUCAUUCGUGUCCAACAGUAGGUUGCGUAUU